GUCCACGCCGUAAACGAUGUCGAUUUGGAGGCUGUGUCCUUGAGACGUGGCUUCCGGAGCUAACGCGUUAAAUCGACCGCCUGGGGAGUACGGCCGCAAGGCUAAAACUCAAAGAAAUUGACGGGGCCCGCACAAGCGGCGGAGCAUGCGGAUUAAUUCGAUGCAACGCGAAGAACCUUACCUGGGCUUGACAUCCUGAUGACCGCUCCGUAAUGGGAGUUUUUCUUCGGAACAUCAGAGACAGGUGGUGCAUGGUUGUCGU
rnacentral:rRNA from 1 species